CCGACCUGAGAGGGUGAUCGAGCCACACUGAAAACUGAGACACGGUCCAGACUCCUACGGGAGGCAGCAGUAGGGAAUCUUCCGCAAUGGGCGAAAGCCUGACGGAGCAACGCCGCGUGAGUGAUGAAGGGUUUCGGCUCGUAAAACUCUGUUAUUAGGGAAGAACAAAUGUGUAGUA
rnacentral:rRNA from 1 species